UACGGAGGAUGCAAGCGUUAUCCGGAAUGAUUGGGCGUAAGGGGUCCGCAGGUGGCAGUGUAAGUCUGCUGUCAAAGAAUGAGGCUUAACCUUAUCAAGGCAGUGGAAACUACACAGCUAGAGUACGGUCGGGGUAGAAGGAAUUCCUGGUGUAGCGGUGAAAUGCGUAGAUAUCCGGAGGAACACCGGUGGCGAAGGCGGCUUCCUGGACCGAUACUGACGCUGAGGCGCGAAAGCUAGGGGAGCAAACGGG
rnacentral:rRNA from 1 species